rnacentral:rRNA from 1 species
GUCUAUGGCCAUACCACCCUGAACGUGCCCGAUCUCGUCUGAUCUCAGAAGCUAAGCAGGGUCGGGCCUAGUUAGUACUUGGAUGGGAGAACCAAUUCCUGAACACA